rnacentral:lncRNA from 1 species
AUAUCUCACGACUCUCCUUCCUCAAUUUUCUAGGUCAGCAAAGGAAAAAAAAGAAUCACGAUCUCAAAAGCCGAGCCAUCCUUGGCGGUGACCGUCUUCUCUACCGAUAUGAUGGCAGUUCCUCAUCGUCUAUAGCUCUCAGGCGGCGAUCUCAGAAGCCUAUACCAUGGCGGCGAUCUCAGAAGCCUAUACCAUGGCAUGACGCCUUCUGCCAGCACUCCUCCAUUGCUACAUGCCUAGACACAAUCAUCCUCAGGAAAGGAGCACCAGUUGCAAAGACCCUCAGGUUAGAUCUUACAAACUGCCAUGCCAAGUCAGUCAUCUAUGCUCUCUCAUGACCUCAUCUUUCUCAUGUGUUCUGCUGCAAAUUUGUGCAUAUAACUCCAUGGCUCUCUCCAUAUUAGGUCGCCACGUCCAUAUUUACUAAUGUUUCUUCUUGCAUCACGUGGAGAUGGAACUGUCAAAAGCAAGCAUUAUCUAGAUCAAUUCGUUUUCAUCCUAUUAUACUUGGAUCUGAUUUCUGUUUCUCAUGUCUAUUCAUAAUAAAACGUCAAUGAUUUUGGUCCCUUUUUCAGGGUUCCUUUCUCAGAUUGCUUUUCUCCUCAUAAUAUAUGAGUUCUGAUGUUCUAUGCAUGCAUCUUUCAUAAUAUUACAAUCUCUCCACCCUUAGGUUUAAAAUAUGUAUGAUUGCUUUUCUGCGAGGACUGUUCGGGUUGUGUCUUGGCCUUGAAUUUGAUGAACGAUAAUCAGUUCUUUGGUGAGACGCCCAGCUGUAGGUGGUUGAAGGAUAUAUCACAAGGCAUCGACUGGAUGUUCAUCGUGUCCAAUAUAUUCAGAUCAUGUGAUACAGAGCCAAGAACGGAAUAGCUAGCAGAAUAGCCAGUCCAAAAUUGAGAAGAUUUUUCGUUGGGCAUCACACUGCCAAACAUUCAUAAACUUAUUAUGACAUCAUUGACUAUGUCAGGUUAGUGAAGAAUCCUUGUGAAAAAUGAUGACCACCUAACUGGAUGGGUUGUGUACCAUAGAGCAUGGGUGGCCCGGAGUUAGCAUCAACCUCCCCGUUGCUUCUAUAAAAAUAAGAACUUCUCUGCUGCUUCUUAUCUCAUGUGAAAGGCAUAUGCCAGUACACAACAAUGUUGCCCAGUGAAGGUACGAAUACAUGUGAAUCUUCUUACAAUUUAAUCUUGACAUUUUUUAAUGAUUGUCUAUUCUGCUUCUAAUCAUGAUGAUGUCCAACAUAGUUUUAAAUAGCCCGUUAUAGCCCCGCUAUAGCCUCGCUAUAGCCUUUUCAGCAAGGUGUUGCUAAAUGGUAUCAUGUACAAAUAUGCCGCUAUAGCCCGUUAUAGCUGAUCAUGUACAAAUGUUUUUAUUCACUGGGUUCUAUAGUUAAUCGGGUUUUCAUAGUAUUAUUUUGUCUGAAUCAGCAUGAUCUAAUAAGGAAACUCAUAAUAGUCUUCCAUGAGAAAUGCUAGAUAUCACAAAAACUCAUUUCAGUACAGUUAAUAUCUGCUUCUCCUUGUAUAUGUACCAAUAUCAGAAGUUUGAAAUGUGAAACGCUCACAAAGAACUCUCCUGCCAGCAAUGAUGACAUCUUAGCAUAAAAACAGUGGCAACCUCAACACAAUUUAGUAUGGUGAUGACAUGUCCGUGUCCAUUUAUAUAUAUGGUUGAUACUCACGAGAGUUAGUAUCUCCUCCUCAUUAUAUAUGUAACAAUGUGUCUAUAGUUUUAAAUAGAUGAAGUUAGCGAACAUCUUACUUCAUACAGACCUCAUGGCCAUUUAGAAUAUAAUAUUCUUAUGGUGUGUUUGGCUGUUAUUUUCUGAAAUUUUGUAGCAUUAUCUAUCAUAACUUUCUCUUGCUCUCCACAAAAUUUAUGUGGUUGAUUAUUUGACUAAAGUAUUGUUAAAAGCAAAAAAUUGAUUAAGGUUUGGCCUGUCUUUCGUUCCAAAUAGUAUAACUUGGUAUCUUCCGGUGAAUGGAUAAGGAAAUAAUAGAAGCAAAAAUAGAGAUCCGCAUAGAUAAGCAAAACUUCUGAAUUUAUAUUUGAUCUCAUAGCCGCUUAUUCUCUUGAUAUAUUUAUAUUUUAGCUCGCAGAGCCACUUACUUAUGUGGAUAUAUUUAUAUUUUAGCUCAUAGCCACUUCUCUUGAUAUAUGGCUGAACUGGUUUUGUGUCAAUAAAAUUUGAUGUAAUUUUUUAUGACCUUUUAUUCACUGGGCGCUAGCUACGCAGGUCAUUCAUUUAAAUAUGCCUUGGGUUAAGCAUUCACAUUCAAUUAGAAUUGGUCGUAGGUUCAUCAACGGUAGCAGUGUGAAAUAAAUAAUAGUUUAAAAGUAAUACUCAAUAUUUUAUGUCAUUGCAAAUUUGCAAUUAAAAUGAUUUAUUUCACACCAUUACGGAGAAUAGUUAUUCCUUUAGUGGACUUUCGUGAGAAAACUAUAUGUGCUUUACUUGUGGAUAAGGCCUUCAUAUAAUUACACGGCAAAGAAAGGCUUUCAUAUCAUUUAAUAUUUGGCAGAGCAAUUUCGGGUCAGCUAGCUCCUUAUAGAAGAUUUAUCAUAAGAAAUGUAUGCCGGUUUGGAUAUACUACCUCCUUUUGGGUCUACAACCCACACAUAUUUUGUGUUCAAGUAUUAAUUACCAUCUUCUAGACAAGUAGAAGUUACUUUAGAUAAAAAAAAUCAUUUGCAUUCAUAACAAAUACAUUUAUCUGAGAAAAAAUCUUAAUAAAUCUUGGCCUAUACAUAUAUUUGAAGGAUAACAUUCUUAUAAAG